UACGGAGGGGGCGAGCGUUAUUCGGAAUUAUUGGGCGUAAAGGGCGCGUAGGCGGCUUGAUGUGUCAAAGGUGAAAUCCCUCGGCUCAACUGAGGAACUGCCUUUGAAACUGUCUGGCUUGAGGCCGGGAGAGGGUAGCGGAAUUCCCAGUGUAGCGGUGAAAUGCGUAGAUACUGGGAGGAACACCGGUGGCGAAGGCGGCUACCUGAACCGGUUCUGACGCUGAUGCGCGAAAGCGUGGGUAGCAAACAGG
rnacentral:rRNA from 1 species